CCUUCCAGAUGUAGAUGUAGAAUGCAUGGGUGUACUCAGGAUUUUAUGAAGAGGGGUGUGAGAACAGCAACCAGUGUUGCAGGAACAGCUGCACCACACUCCCAGCUUCCUACCCCCAACAGGAUGAGCAGACUAUGCCAUGGGAGCAGCAGCCAGAGCCUUUUUAAAGUCCUUGAAUCAGAUAAGAAACCAUGUGCCUGGGCUAAAGAAAAUUUGGAACAUCCAGAGGAUUUGGAAGAUUAGUGACUUAGUGUACUGACAUAUUUUCAACUUCUGACUGAACACGCUAUCAGUCGUAUCUGCAGACGUCAAUCGGCGUUAAGUUUCUACUGCAUUUUAUUCCUAUCAAACCUCCAAAAUUAGUUAGCUGAUGUCCAUUCCUGAUGUCACAUCUCAAUAGUAUCAGCCCUGUAAUUGGAACUAUGCAGCUCACUGGAGUCAAGGAAGUUACUGCAUGCAGUUUCUCCAAAGCAUCCACGUCAUUCUGAAUCCUCUUCUUGGCCACCAAAGUGUCUGCUACAUCACCCAACUUGGUACCAUCAUAAUUCCAUCCUCCAAGUCAUUAAUGAAGAUAUUAAACAGUACCAGACCUAGGCCAGACUUGGGGAACCUACUCUGUUUCUCUCCUCCUCCUCCCCGCUCAAGCCCUGGCCACUAGCCAUACACACAUGCUGCCCAUAUUCUUCAUCCGCACUAGCUCACAAUCCCAGUUGCCCCCUCCAGGCUCCAAAUCCAAAUUAUAGUAUGGAAAGCAACUAUAGUGAAGUGUGCUACGUGAGAGCAGCUGAGUGGGUUCUACCACUCCCUUUCCAACUACGUUAGGUCACCUGCCCCAUGCUGCACCUGAUAGCACUAGUUAUCAAAUCCUAAACAAUAAAUAUACAGAGGUGGAGUUAAAAAGGAGACACACAGUAUAAACCCAUUAAAAUGAGUUCCCCAUGGCAGCAGGAGAAGAGUUUGUUAAAGUAUCCUUCAGUCAAUUGCAGCAUCAAAAUGAACAAAUCAGUCCCUGUUAAGAUGGUUAAAAGCAGGAGUGGGGGUGUUUUAAAUAGGGUUUGUUAGAAUGAGGUUGUCUGGUAUUUCUAAAAAUAGUGAGGCCCUUAUAGAGUUCUUUCUGGUUAGGGGGUCCUCAUUGGGCUUGAUGAACUAAAUACUCUUAGCUAGACAGCCCUAUCAGUAGCUAUGGAAUAAUACUGACUGACAUUUUACAAAUUGAGAACUGAGGCGCACACACUUUUCAGUUACUUGCCCAAGUUCACAAACAAGCAGAAAAUAUGGGUUUCUCACAGAAAUGGGAGUAGAAUCAAUUGGUUCCAACAAGCAGUUCUGUGGUUUAACCACAAGGCAUUAGUUUUACUUCAGUCUAUAAAUCAGAAAAGAACAAAAAUGUUUUAAAGUCUGGCCCUUCACUGCUUUCCCUAUUCCUCUUUAGGUUGUGUUGAUGUCUUUACUGGUUGCAAGCAAAACAAGUAAUGAUGGGGUUUAUACCUUAGUGAAUAGAAAAGAACUAUUAUUCAAAUGCACAUUUUCAAUCUAUUUGUAUACAAUCACUUAUUCAAGCCAUUCUUUAGGAUAUUACCCAUAUUUUUCUAAACAAACUUUGCAGCUCACCUUUAAUCAAUGAAGCUCUUAUUCCUUCUUUCUGACACAUACCACUGCCAAGGCAUUAACAGUCCACAGCAGAAAAAGUUAAAUGAACUCCAGAUUCUAUGUUCUGCCAUAUCCUUAUAUCUUUUUUUUCCCCAAUAAUUGCUAAUUGCCUGUACCUAAGUAAUGGAGCAUAUAAUACUAGAUGUUUCUUUACUGCUAAAUAUUUAAAGAACUCUAAAUGAUUUAAUCUCUCGAGCCCCCACUGAAUGUCUGUAAACCAUCACCCUGAAAGGCAAUUGUGUGUAAUGCAAACAUGUCCGAGGAAAUGCAUGCAAGUGUAUAACCUAUUUGUCUUUUGAAUCAAAUGCUUAAGAAUCUAUCUUGAUGGAAAAGCUGCUACAAAUAACAUGUCCAUGUACCGCUGAAGGAGCCCAUUUCUCUAUUGAAAAGUGAUGACAUUAAAUUGAACCAGCUCCCAGUAUUCCUCUGAAUUAUUUUUACUGAGCCUGCAGUGCGAGAAAAGGAAAACAAAUAGUAGAACUAGGGGGUUUAAAGACCAUAAGAGACACAUAUAUUUAAUGAAUUUGCCACACAUUGUAAUAGAACUGCAGAGAGUGAUUUUUAUAUAUUGUAUGCUGCAGAACUUUUUGAUAGAAAAGAAACCAAGUAUCAGCAACAUAAUCAGCUGUUACAUUGUGCUCUGGAGUUGGAAUAAGGGGAGGCAAAAAUCAGGAAAGGUGACCAUUUGAGGAGAAUCAUAGUUCAGGGAUUGUAUGAAAAGCAACAUUGUUUG